GACAGCGUAGGGUAGUGGUUUGAGUGUUGGACUAUGACUCUGGACGCCAGGGUUUGAUUCCCAGCUUGGCCA